UUUUUUGGAGAGUUUGAUCCUGGCUCAGAGUUAACGCUGGCGGCGUGCCUAACACAUGCAAGUCGAGCGAAGAGUACCAGUGUAUCGGGCUCUUAGCGGCAGACGGGUGAGUAACACGUAAACAAUCUGCCCUCGAAUGGGAGACAACCUGGCGAAAGUCGGGCUAAUACCCCAUACAAUCUUCUUAAGGCAUCUUAAGGGGAUGAAAGGCCCGCAAGGGUCGUUCGAGGAGGAGUUUGCGGCCUAUCAGCUAGUUGGCGGUGUAACAGACCACCAAGGCUAUGACGGGUAGCCGAUCUAAAAGGAUGACCGGCCACAAGGGCACUGAGACACGGGCCCUACUCCUACGGGAG
rnacentral:rRNA from 1 species